UACGUAGGGUCCGAGCGUUGUCCGGAAUUACUGGGCGUAAAGAGCUCGUAGGCGGUUUGUCGCGUUGUUCGUGAAAACUCACAGCUCAACUGUGGGCGUGCGGGCGAUACGGGCAGACUAGAGUACUGCAGGGGAGACUGGAAUUCCUGGUGUAGCGGUGGAAUGCGCAGAUAUCAGGAGGAACACCGGUGGCGAAGGCGGGUCUCUGGGCAGUAACUGACGCUGAGGAGCGAAAGCGUGGGGAGCAAACAGG
rnacentral:rRNA from 1 species